rnacentral:tRNA from 3 species
GUUAAGGUGGCAGAGCCCGGCCAUUGCAAAAGACCUAAACUCUUCGAAUAGAGGUUCAAAUCCUCUCCUUAACU